UUUAUACAUCCAGACUCUCUUCAUUUUUACCCGGGCUUCAGAAUGACCAUUCUUAUCUUUCAAAUAUAGUACAUGGUCUUUUUAUUAAAAUUGACUUACCUUUUUCUAACAACUGACCUAUACUUAAAAUAUUGUUCUUCACCUUAGAAACAUAGUAAAUGCCCCUAAUAUCUCCAACUCGUCCAUCCUUCUGCAUAUGCCGGAUUGUUCCACG
rnacentral:lncRNA from 1 species